CUUCGCUUCAGAUAAUAGAGGCUGGCCGCAUGGAUCACAGGUGCCAUAUAUAUAUAUAUCAUGCAACGCGCUUAAUUGCCACGUCACCUGAUCAUGGCAGGCCUAUAAGUAGAGGCAUGAUUUUACACAAGCUUCAGAUACCAGUCACGCGCGCAAGGGCGCUUCCCAUACUGUUAUGCUAAAUACAACGUCUCGUUCCCUUUGAAAGGGAACUCCCUUACCACAGAGCUUUUGGGGUAGCUGUUCAAUUCAGUCAGCAAAUGAUUAUAUAAUGCAAAUAAUGCAAAAAAAAAAAGGAUGAGAGAGAUGUCAGCUGUUUUUAUGCAGUCUAUUACAAUGAUGCAAAACAAUAAAACGCAACUCUGUUUACUAACAAUUCAAGGUACUGUUAUAUGUAUAAGUGCUGAUGCUAACCACAAACUCAGAUGAAUUUUGAUGAAAUUGGAAUGAAUUUGUGCUAAACACUUGUCUGUGGUAAUCUCAGACAUACUGCAGAUGUGGUAGAUAAAGAUACGAUUGAAAAAUGCUGGAGUAUAUAAGCUCUAUAUGUACAGUUCUGGUGUAUGCAUGACUCCUUGGCAAUGCUUUUAUCCAGUGCUUUAGAGCCAUUAGAGAAGCCACCAUUAGAGUCUCAUAAAAUAGUGAGAUGUUUGUUCAGUGCUGCCUGAAAAUGAGCUGGCCUGAUACAUUGUAAUAUCAUAUAAGGAUCUAAUGAUACUAAUACACAUUUCCAUUUGUGGCUUAGAAAAAAAAAGAUAGAGUGCUGAUGGACUGGGUUUGCCAAUAGACAUGAGCUUAUUAUUAGGCAGCAAGAGAGUCAUCAGUGGAUUUAACAGCUUUGCACCACUCAUGAGUUGGAGGUGUGGAGGACGGCCGGCUCUCUGAGCCCAGGCCAAGCCUUUAGCUCUGGGGCCACACAUCGUGCACGGCCUCCAGCCUCAGCAAUAAUGGCCCAGCCUCAGCUGCUGGAAAUGUUAUUCUAAUUAACAGGGGAUUAAGUCAUCAUCUUUUCAUGUAAUAUAGUCUGGAUGGGAAUUUCAAUAUGGAACAGCAGUGCAAAAAAGCAGUAAAUUACUCUUGACCCCCUGGACGGCAGUCUAUCAGCGCGUCAAUUGCCUGCCAAUUAAAACAAGCCACCCUUGCCAAAACUUUAUUGGGACGGACUGGGCUUUCAGACGUGGUACACAUUUCAUGGGGCUGGAGAAGAGAGACGAGUGCCUGGCUGGCUGCUGACACUAUUCUGGUGGGAAUUUUGUCAAGUUUGGAGAAAUGAGCAUAUGAAACGAUUUUCUCGAGCUAUCGCGGGCCAUAGCUGAGCUGACUGCCACACAAACAGUUUCUCUGAAGUGCAGCUCUUUGAUAAGUGACCAUAUGUGGAGCAUCAUGUGCAUGGAGAGCUAAAACACAAACAAUAACCCUAGAGCAGACUUCUGAUAGACUGGACAAAGGCUUCCAACAUUAACAAGAGCUCCAGCACUAACAAGCUGAGGCGUUUAGGGUUCUGAUGUGCAUGCUUUUAAAAAUGCAUCAUGACAAUUUACAAAGACUUUUUGACUUCCAAGUCCUAUGCAGAGAGUAUUUGAUGUGUGACAAGGUCAGUGUACUUUUCUUAACAGUGGAAAAUCAUAGUACAGAUAAUACUGAUGUAACAUGAUGUAAUUUAGGUCAACUUAAAAAAAAGUCACUUGUAUGCAAUGGAAUGUAUGUAAUUUCUUCAUGACCAUGAUCAGACACACAAUACAGUGGCUCAGUGGACAGGAGUACAUAAAGUGCAAUACACAACAGUCCGAGACUAGAGCAAAAUAUGUAACAAUUAGACAUACACAGGACAAUAAAAACUUUGGACAGUGCACGGGGACUAGACAGGACAACAGAACGGUAUUGUAUGGAAGAAAUCAGUAAAAAUUUAUCUGUAAACAUUUGACUUAAACAGAUUGUGCAAUUACUAUAUGAAAUGAAAAAUAUAGAGAAAAAUUUGCAGCAAGAUGAGUAGUAAAGUGUAUUGUAGCGGCAUAAUAGCCACACAAACACACACACACA
ensembl:lncRNA